ensembl:lncRNA
CCUGAGAAGAAAGGGAGUGAUCCCAUUAUAAAUGAGAGUCAUACAUCCUUUCUGGAGGCGUGUUGAAAUUUCCCAUGGGAGGAAGAAGAAUAAACAAAGGGAGAACCUAUCCCGUGGCUUUAAUCAGGAUGUCAGAUCAUUUUAUGGGAUGCAGUACUCAGCAGCACUUACUUUUGAGUCUCCUUUGUACCUACCAAUUGCCUAUUGUCAAAUUAUCUUCAUAACGGUUAUAGAAUUGUAUAUCAUUAUCCUGUGUUUCUUCAUGCUUUUCUGCUGGACUGAGUUGAGGGGAUGAAAUUGCUCAGAUGCCUGAGGCGACAGACUGAGUUGACUAGAAUCAUCAUGAUUAUUCAAAUGAGAAUUAUCCAAAUGACCCAGAUUUCUUCCCUGCUGCAUCAUGACAAAUUGCUAGACAAUGACACCUCUACUGUCUGCAUUUCUGUGGGCAGACACAUUUGGAUACCCAUACAGGUAUUCCACAUCAUAACAUCGUAUAGUGCACUGGGAGUUAAAGUGUUAAUGCUCCA